UAGGAUGUAGUAUAAGGGGAGUACAAAGGGUUUUGAUCUCUUAUGUAGAGGUUCAAAGCCUCUUUUUCUAA
rnacentral:tRNA from 1 species